CCUGCCCCUACAGGCACUGCAGGUGUGGCUUCUGUGUCGCACGUGUGUCAGUAGAUAGCAGAAAGGAAAGAGACUGUGUCUACACUCAGUGUUCUGACCUGUGAACAUCUGUGUGAUUAGGAGCCUAACACU